ACAGAGGGUGCUAGCGUUGUUCGGAAUUACUGGGCGUAAAGGGCGUGUAGGUUGUACAGUAAGUCGGGUGUGAAAUCCCACGGCUCAACCGUGGAACGGCAUUCGAUACUACUGAACUUGAGUCCAAGAGAGGGAAGUGGAAUUCCCAGUGUAGAAGUGAAAUUCGUAGAUAUUGGGAGGAACACCGGUAGCGAAAGCGACUUCCUGGCUUGGCACUGACACUGAUACGCGAAAGCGUGGGGAGCAAACAG
rnacentral:rRNA from 1 species